rnacentral:lncRNA from 1 species
GUUGAAGUACUCUAAUUCGACCCGUGACCAGCAGAUAUUAGCCAGAAAGGGCUCCUUCCCCUUCUUGCUGCCAUAGAAGCAUGAAAAAAUGGAGUUUUCCUGUAACCAUUCUGAAACCAAGAAAGCCCUUAUUUCUGCCUAUAGAAUGAUUCUUCCACGACUCUCGCUUGGGUUCUAACUUCAAACUUCAUAGGAGUUCUGACCCACUUGACUUUUUGGUACCGAAAACAAAGUCAUGAAAAAAUGGAGUUUUCCUGUGACCAUUCUGAAACCAAGAAAGCCUUUAUUUCUGCCUAUGGAAUGAUUCUUCCACGACUCUCGCUUGGGUUCUAACUUCAAACUUCAUAGGAGUUCUGACCCACUUGACUUUUUGGUACCGAAAACAAAGGUUCGAAAUCCCAGUUGAGGCAAAGGUAUUGAAGAGCAGAUAGACCCGGAAGAUUCCAACCUUCUAGAUGGAGCCAGGUUAGGUCACUUCGAUCGCUUAAUUGACUUUUUGGUCUGGCCAAUUCGAGUGGUAAACGCGGCUUCCAAAGAGGUGGGUAAAUAAAAUAGGACCGAAAGGGAGGUCUCAUUUUCGCAUUUGAUCCUGGAAGAAGGGAAAGCAAGUAUGCCCGCUUACCCUCACUGACAAAGGUAAAAAAGGAUAAGGAGCAAAGACCCCUAGAUUGGUGUUUUGCAUGAGGAGAUUGUUCUGACUCUUUUCGAAUCAUCAUCAGAGGAGACAGAAAAGCACCCUUUCCAUUCGUUGAGAACGAUUGCCUAUAGUCCGCCUUUCAUUCGAUCAUGCAAGAAGAGAAUCACUUUUUUGUACCGAAAACAAAGGUUCGAAAUCCCAGUUGAGGCAAAGGUAUUGAAGAGCAGAUAGACCCGGAAGAUUCCAACCUUCUAGAUGGAGCCAGGUUAGGUCACUUCGAUCGCUUAAGCCCUUACUGCGGUAGAGUAGGACGCUUUAGUUGGCAAGGUUAUAUGGUCUAUAAUUCUGCCACCUGUGAAAGAAUGGUUAGGUCGCUUCGAUCGUAUAAGCCCUUACCGCGGUAGAGUAGGACGCAUUAGUUGGCAAGGUUAUAUGGUCUAUAAUUCUGCCACCUGUGAAAGAAAGGUUGCCAAAGAUGUUAUGAAUGGCAUUUCCACCGAUUGAGGAGAAAGAGCCAGCCGUAGUCCCACUAAUCUAAUGUAAUAAAGGCCAAUGGAACAUGCUUAUACUCGGUCAGGAGGGAAUUAGGCUCUCUCAUUGCUUCUUUCAUUCCAUCUCCGCUCCUCUUCAUCAAGUUCUACAAGACUUGAAGACAUGUGCCUAAGGAAAGCGAUUGAGCAAAGAAGGUUCACAAUGCAAUUGAGCUAAAGUGGGAAAAAAAGAUCCCACUUUCACAAACUAUGCUUGAUCACAGGGGACUUUGACU